AUUGAACGCUGGCGGCAGGCCUAACACAUGCAAGUCGAACGGUAACAGGAAACAGCUUGCUGUUUCGCUGACGAGUGGCGGACGGGUGAGUAAUGUCUGGGAAACUGCCUGAUGGAGGGGGAUAACUACUGGAAACGGUAGCUAAUACCGCAUAACGUCGCAAGACCAAAGAGGGGGACCUUCGGGCCUCUUGCCAUCGGAUGUGCCCAGAUGGGAUUAGCUAGUAGGUGGGGUAACGGCUCGCCUAGGCGACGAUCCCUAGCUGGUCUGAGAGGAUGACCAGCCACACUGGAACUGAGACACGGUCCAGACUCCUACGGGAGGCAGCAGUGGGGAAUAUUGCACAAUGGGCGCAAGCCUGAUGCAGCCAUGCCGCGUGUAUGAAGAAGGCCUUCGGGUUGUAAAGUACUUUCAGCGGGGAGGAAGGGAGUAAAGUUAAUACCUUUACUCAUUGACGUUACCCGCAGAAGAAGCACCGGCUAACUCCGUG
rnacentral:rRNA from 1 species